rnacentral:tRNA from 1 species
CGGGAUGUGGCGCAGUCCGGUAGCGUACAAGUAUGGGGUACUUGGGGUCGCAGGUUCAAAUCCUGUCAUCCCGACCA